rnacentral:pre_miRNA from 1 species
AGCGGGUUGAGCUUUAACCCGUUAUAGUGGGUUGAGCCUUAACCCGUUAUAGCGGGUUGAGCCUUAACCUGUUAUAGCGGGUUGAGCUUUAACCCGUUAUAGCAGGUUGAGCCUUAACCCGCUAUAACGGGUUAGGGCUCAACCCGCUAUAACGGGUUAAGGCUCAACCCCCU